rnacentral:rRNA from 1 species
AAGAGUCAAGCCUGCCCAGUGAAAAAUUUAACGGCCGCGGUACUCUGACCGUGCGAAGGUAGCAUAAUCAUUUGCCUUUCAAUGAAGGCUAGUAUGAAAGGUCUGACGAAAGCUAAGCUGUCUUUUAUUAAAUAAAAUGAAAUUGACUUUUAGGUGCAAAGGCCUAUAUUUAACUAAAAGACAAGAAGACCCUAUUGAGCUUUAAAACUUAAAAAGAGUAAAGCAUAUUGUAGUAAGAUUUUAAUUCUUUUAAACUUUUUAGUUGGGGCGACUUUGGAACAAUAGCAGCUUCCUAAAAUUAAAAAUACUUUUAGGUUUUGAUCCAAAAUAUUUUGACUAAUACAAUUAGUUACCAUAGGGAUAACAGCAUAAUUCUUCUUAAGAGUUCUAAUCGAAAGAAGGGAUUGUGACCUCGAUGUUGGACUAGAAUAUCCUAAAGGUGCAGAAGUUUUUGAAGGUUGGACUGUUCG